CCUUCGAUAGCUCAGUUGGUAGAGCGGUGGACUGUAGCGAAAGCAGUAGCGAUCCGCUGUGUGUUGCACUUCACUUUGAAAGUAGAUCGCUGCGAGUGGUAGUAGUAAUCCAUAGGUCACUGGUUCAAAUCCGGUUCGAAGGA
rfam:Anopheles dirus strain WRAIR2 unplaced genomic scaffold supercont1.1, whole genome shotgun sequence.